rnacentral:rRNA from 1 species
UACGUAAGGACCGAGCGUUGUCCGGAAUCAUUGGGCGUAAAGGGUACGUAGGUGGUUAGAAAAGUUAGAAGUGAAAGGCUAUAGCUCAACUAUAGUAAGCUUUUAAAACUGUUUAACUUGAGGUAUGGAAGGGAAAGUGGAAUUCCUAGUGUAGCGGUGGGAUGCACAGAUAUUAGGAAGAAUACCGGUGGCGAAGGCGACUUUCUGGCCAUUUUCUGACGCUGAGGUACGAAAGCGUGGGUAGCAAACAGG